CGUAGGGUGCGAGCGUUAAUCGGAAUUACUGGGCGUAAAGCGUGCGCAGGCGGUUUUUUAAGACAGGCGUGAAAUCCCCGGGCUCAACCUGGGAACUGCGCUUGUGACUGGAAGGCUAGAGUACGGCAGAGGGGGGUGGAAUUCCACGUGUAGCAGUGAAAUGCGUAGAGAUGUGGAGGAACACCAAUGGCGAAGGCAGCCCCCUGGGUCGAUACUGACGCUCAUGCACGAAAGCGUGGGUAGCAAACAGGAUUAGAUACCCUGGUAGUCCACGCCCUAAACGAUGUCAACUAGGUGUUGGAUGGGUAAAACCUUUUAGUACCGGAGCUAACGCGUGAAGUUGACCGCCUGGGGAGUACGGCCGCAAGGUUA
rnacentral:rRNA from 1 species